rnacentral:rRNA from 1 species
GACGAACGCUGGCGGCGCGCCUAACACAUGCAAGUCGAACGGAGUCAAGAGGAGCUUGCUUUUCUUGACUUAGUGGCGAACGGGUGAGUAACGCGUGAGUAACCUGCCCUGGAGUGGGGGACAACAGUUGGAAACGACUGCUAAUACCGCAUAAGCCCACGGAUCUGCAUGGAUCUGCGGGAAAAGGAUUUAUUCGCUCUAGGAUGGACUCGCGUCCAAUUAGCUAGUUGGUGAGGUAACGGCCCACCAAGGCGACGAUUGGUAGCCGGACUGAGAGGUUGAACGGCCACAUUGGGACUGAGACACGGCCCAGACUCCUACGGGAGGCAGCAGUGGGGGAUAUUGCACAAUGGGGGAAACCCUGAUGCAGCGACGCCGCGUGGAGGAAGAAGGUUUUCGGAUUGUAAACUCCUGUCGUUAGGGACGAUAAUGACGGUACCUAACAAGAAAGCACCAGCUAACUACGU